AUACGAAGGGUGCAAGCGUUAAUCGGAAUUACUGGGCGUAAAGCGCGCGUAGGUGGUUUUGUAAGUUGGAGGUGAAAGCCCCGGGCUCAACCUGGGAAUUGCCUCCAAAACUGCAUGACUAGAGUACGGUAGAGGGUAGUGGAAUUUCCUGUGUAGCGGUGAAAUGCGUAGAUAUAGGAAGGAACACCAGUGGCGAAGGCGACUGCCUGGACUGAUACUGACACUGAGGUGCGAAAGCGUGGGGAGCAAACAGGAUUAGAUCCCCUGGUAGUCCACGCCGUAAACGAUGUCAACUAGCCGUUGGGAUCCUUGAGAUCUUAGUGGCGCAGCUAACGCAUUAAGUUGACCGCCUGGGGAGUACGGCCGCAAGGUUAAAACUCAAAUGAAUUGACGGGG
rnacentral:rRNA from 1 species